rnacentral:rRNA from 1 species
GAUGAACGCUAGCUACAGGCUUAACACAUGCAAGUCGAGGGGAAACGACAUCGAAAGCUUGCUUUUGAUGGGCGUCGACCGGCGCACGGGUGAGUAACGCGUAUCCAACCUGCCCACCACUUGGGGAUAACCUUGCGAAAGUAAGACUAAUACCCAAUGACAUCUCUAGAAGACAUCUGAAGGAGAUUAAAGAUUUAUCGGUGAUGGAUGGGGAUGCGUCUGAUUAGCUUGUUGGCGGGGUAACGGCCCACCAAGACUACGAUCAGUAGGGGUUCGGAGAGGAAGGUCCCCCACAUUGGAACUGGGACACGGUCCAAACUCCUACGGGAGGCAGCAGUGAGGAAUAUUGGUCAAUGGACGAGAGUCUGAACCAGCCAAGUAGCGUGCAGGAUGACGGCCCUAUGGGUUGUGAACUGCUUUUAUAAGGGAAUAAAGUGAGCCUCGUGAGGCUUUUUGCAUGUACCUUAUGAAUAAGGACCGGCUAAUUCCGUGCCAGCAGCCGCCGUAA